rnacentral:rRNA from 1 species
AUUGAACGCUGGCGGCAUGCUUUACACAUGCAGGUCGAACGGUAACAGGUUAAGCUGACGAGUGGCGAACGGGUGAGUAAUGCAUCGGAACGUGCCCGGUCGUGGGGGAUAACGCAGCGAAAGCUGCGCUAAUACCGCAUACGAUCUAAGGAUGAAAGCGGGGGACCGUAAGGCCUCGCGCGAUCGGAGCGGCCGAUGUCAGAUUAGGUAGUUGGUGGGGUAAAGGCUCACCAAGCCAACGAUCUGUAGCUGGUCUGAGAGGACGACCAGCCACACUGGGACUGAGACACGGCCCAGACUCCUACGGGAGGCAGCAGUGGGGAAUUUUGGACAAUGGGCGAAAGCCUGAUCCAGCAAUGCCGCGUGCAGGAAGAAGGCCUUCGGGUUGUAAACUGCUUUUGUACGGAGCGAAAAGGUCUCCUCUAAUACAGGGGGCUCAUGACGGUACCGUAAGAAUAAGCACCGGCUAACUACGUGCCAGCCGCCGCAGUAA